UCUGUUGGGGUUUGUGUUUUGCGUCUGGAAAAAAACAUUCACUUUCAAUCACGAAAAAAAAAAAUCUCGAAGGCGAAAGGCGAUUUGGCUCUGAGAAAAGAGACCGAAACCCUAAUCUAUGCAGGAGGAUGAUGAAUUUGGGGAGGAAGAAUCGAAUAUAUGUUUCAAGAACCAAGAGAUUCUGGUGGCCACGAUCUGGAUUCAAGCUUUCAUUGGUACCAAUUUCGAUUUCUCGACGUACUCCUCGGAUUUGAAAUCGGUUCUAGGGAUUCAUUGGUUAUGGUGUCCAGUAGACAAGUUACUUUCUGUAAACGACGUAAUGGUCUCAUGGAGAAAGCUCGUCAGCUCUCGAUUCUCUGUGGAUCCUCCGUAGCUGUCCUCAUUGUUUCCUCUACUUGACUCUGUUCUGACUUGUAAAACAGAGGAAAGAGCAGUUACAAGAUUCUCUCGCCUGACAUCAUGGUGUGGACAAUGAUUCUGUUAAGCCAUCACCAAGACUGGCAAGAAAGGGCGAGAGAGGAAGUGAGGCAGUGAACAAGACUGAAGAACAGAUUUGGAAGCAUAUCAAUGGACGACGCUUCCUCAACAAGCUAGAGGAGAAGGAAAGAGAGAAAGAGUAACUGACUUUUUAGCAGGCAACAGACUUUUGUACACUCUUUGCAGGCUACGGACUUUUUAGCUCGUGCCCUUUUUAGGCAACAAGAUAAUUUCUUUGUUUACUACAGUUAAGUUCCCCGGAUUAUUUCUCCAUUUUACAUUUGUGUUAGUCCCCAGUUUGAUUGUUUGGUAUGUGCCUUUGCUUCCAGAACUGUACCACUUGCUGCCUAGACGCUUUGAUGGGAGACGCAGUCAGAAGCUAGAAACAGUGAAGGAACUGAAUAAAGAAAAAGCUAGGUACCCUAGAUUGGCAAAUCUCCACCUCUUUCUGAGGAUGAUUUAUGGUGGGAGGUUGCAGGCUUGGAGCUGAGAGAGGAGUGGAGAUUAGAGAACCGGAAAGCAUUUGCCAACAUAUAGUCUGAUCUGGUGUUUGGGAUUUCGCUGUUCGUUGCCAAUUAUUUGGUAGAUUUAUGACAUUCUGUUUCCAAUCUAUAAUGACAUUCUACACUCGGUUGUGUAAUAGGAAAAUUAUGCAUGGAUUUAUACAUAUAUACACAAAUAAAAUUUUCAAA